rnacentral:tRNA from 1 species
GGGCGACUAGCUCAACUGGUAGAGCAACUCCCUCUUAAGGAGUCGGUUCGGGGUUCGAGCCCCCGGUCGCUCA